UGGACUGAUGAAAUGAAUGUGAGUAUCAAGUCCUCCUGCUGUCACGAUAAGCCCCUCACCAGCUAUUACCUCUGUUCCUGCUCCAAUCACGAGAUUUUCAUCAACACCAUCCAUUAUUGCAGGAUUUCCUGCUUUUCCGAUGCCACAGAUCUUUCCAUCCUUUAUGCCUAUAUCCGCCUUUACGAUACCCCAAUGAUCAACUAUGACAGCACUGGUGAUCACUGUAUCGGGACAAUUAUCAUCCCUCACCUUACACGACUGUCCCAUUCCGUCUCU
rnacentral:sRNA from 1 species